AAGAGACGUUGCCCUUCGGGGUAUACCUCCCACCCUUUGUUUAUUAUACCUUUGCUGCUUUGGCGGGCCCGUCCUCGGACCACCGGCUUCUGCUGGUCAGUGCCCGCCAGAGGACCUAAAACUCUGUUUGUUAAUAUUGUCUGAGUACUAUAUAACAGUUA
rnacentral:misc_RNA from 1 species